CACGUAGGGGGGCAAGCGUUUGUCCGGAUUUAUUGGGCGUAAAGAGCUCGUAGGCGGUUCGGUAAGUCGGGUGUGAAACCUCCAGGCUCAACCUGGAGACGCCACCUGAUACUGCUGUGACUCGAGUCCGGUAGGGGAGCGUGGAAUUCCUGGUGUAGCGGUGGAAUGCGCAGAUAUCAGGAGGAACACCAAUAGCGAAGGCAGCUCGCUGGGACGGUACUGACGCUAAGGCGCGAAAGCGUGGGGAGCGAACAGG
rnacentral:rRNA from 1 species